GAUGAACGCUGGCGGCGUGCCUAAUACAUGCAAGUCGAGCGAACUGAUUAGAAGCUUGCUUCUAUGACGUUAGCGGCGGACGGGUGAGUAACACGUGGGUAACCUGCCUAUAAGACUGGGAUAACUCCGGGAAACCGGGGCUAAUACCGGAUAACAUUUUGCGCCGCAUGGUGCGAAAUUGAAAGGCGGCUUCGGCUGUCACCUAUAGAUGGACCUGCGGCGCAUUAGCUAGUUGGGGAGGUAACGGCUCACCAAGGCGACGAGGCGUAGCCGACCUGAGAGGGUGAUCGGCCACACUGGGACUUAGACACGGCCCAGACUCCUACGGGAGGCAGCAGUAGGGAAUCUUCCGCAAUGGACGAAAGUCUGACGGAGCAACGCCGCGUGAACGAUGAAGGCUUUCGGGUCGUAAAGUUCUGUUGUUAGGGAAGAACAAGUGCUAGUUGAAUAAGCUGGCACCUUGACGGUACCUAACCAGAAAGCCACGGCUAACUACGUGCCAGCAGCCGCAGUAAAAC
rnacentral:rRNA from 1 species